rnacentral:rRNA from 1 species
GACGAACGCUGGCGGCGUGCCUAAUACAUGCAAGUCGAACGCAUUUUCUUUCACCGUAGCUUGCUACACCGAAAGAAAAUGAGUGGCGAACGGGUGAGUAACACGUGGGUAACCUGCCCAUCAGCGGGGGAUAACACUUGGAAACAGGUGCUAAUACCGCAUAAUUCCAUUUACCGCAUGGUAGAUGGGUGAAAGGCGCUUUUGCGUCACUGAUGGAUGGACCCGCGGUGCAUUAGCUAGUUGGUGGGGUAACGGCCUACCAAGGCUGCGAUGCAUAGCCGACCUGGGAGGGUGAUCGGCCCCACUGGGACUGAGACACGGCCCAGACUCCUACGGGAGGCAGCAGUAGGGAAUCUUCGGCAAUGGACGCAAGUCUGACCGAGCAACGCCGCGUGAGUGAAGAAGGUUUUCGGAUCGUAAAACUCUGUUGUUAGAGAAGAACAAGGAUGAGAGUGGAAAGUUCAUCCCUUGACGGUAUCUAACCAGAAAGCCACGGCUAACUACGUG